rnacentral:tmRNA from 1 species
GGGGCCGUACAGGGUUCGACGGGGGUUUUGAAGCAGCAGGAGCGAGCAGCGGCGGGCACCGCUUUAAUCAGCCCAAAUUAAAAUUAAACGCUAACGAUAAUUUAGCAUACGCUGCCUAAUUAAAGGCAGCCGUUCUUACUUGGACUACCGCAUCUGAGCUAAGAGCGUCAUUUUCGCGGUGAACGUGCGGCGGCAAAGCUUUGAGCCGCCCAUGAACGAUGAAGCUACCGACGCGCUAAGCUUGUUUAUGUGCUUGGUGCCGGGGGAAGCCCGAACAUAAACUGCGCUCGGAGACCCCGCUGUGAAUAGAUUUUCGGACAGGAGUUCAAUUCUCCUCGGCUCCAU